AUCCCCCUCACCAGCAGCGAACUUCUUAGGCUCUAGGGCUCUGACCUGGGCUCCAAGAUAAAUAUUUAAUGUAGAGGGUGCCGCUGAGCUGCCAAAGGUCCCAGCUUCCUGUUUCUCACAAGAGAAGGAGAAUUCCUCCUGUUUUAAGAAGAUUAAAGGGAGAAAACGUAGCAAGGUUCCGAGAUUGGACCCAGAGCCAGGUGUCUGGUUUCCUGACUCCUCCCCCUAGCUCCAGCCCCUCGCUGCCUGCCGGCCUCACAGCUGGGCAGCUUCCAGUGGCGUUCCAGAGCCAGGUAACAGCAGAUAGUGCAGCCCUGGUCAGUCCAGUAUGUCAUCCUCUGUCUCCUGCAUGCCCUCCUGUCUAAGAGGGACCUCCUUCCCUCUUAGUCAGCUGCCUGCACACCUCUGGCAUGGCCCUGGGUCUCAGGGACAACCACCUGAGCUCCCGUAAACACGGUUACGUAACUGCUCUGUUUUCCCUAGCUAUCUGAUCCCAGUCACCAGGAGCCCCACCCAGCCCCAGGCAGCCAAUUCUGCCCGAUGCACAUUCUCCUCCCUUCUCCCCUCUUCCCCGCCUCCCCCCUCCCCCGGUCCUCUGUCCUCUGCCACCAACUCAAAGCACCAUUAGUCAGUGCUGAGGAGAGUCUACUACCAUUUGGAUGAGUCACACGGACAUCUCUGCUGCGGGGCCCCUGUCCUCCACUGAAAAGGCACCUGCUAGUUCCUUCCCUGGGACAGCCUUCAGUCCAUCCUUCAGGUAGACUUUCACAUCCAUUUUGAUUUGUGCUCCUGGAAGAGUAUUUUCUUUCUACGGACCAGAUGGGAGCAGCCAAGGAUAUGCAGACUGCUCUAGAAAGGACCACAAGUAACCCAACGGCGAGAACUGGAGCCAGGUCACCACGGAUAUACCAGCACAGACCUGGACUCUGUUUCAUCCCUGGGGCCAUCUCCUGACUCCAGCUCGUCCACUGCUGCCAACUAAGCUCCAUCAAUGGCCCCACGUACGCCAACCACUCAUGGGAACAGGGGCAAACAAGGCAGGAAAGCGAAGUGACCCACUUUGGGACUCCAAGGGCCCUCUUGCACACUGGCCUAUCUAUCUGGAAGUCUGGGUUUUUUGAUUCAGUCACUGCAACGUGAAGGAAUUCUGAGUGGAAAAAACAGAGCAAAUGAACAACAAAAACACACAGUGCAGGUCAAGGACGGUCAAUGUCAGGCCUGGCAGCCAGGUCAGGUAUGUUAAAAGCCAAGGGAAUAAGAGGAGGCUGAGGAUUUCAGGCCUGCCUUGCACAAAUAUUUUCAUAGCACAAAUAUAAUAGGCACCUCAUGGCUCUCAACAUCUAGACCCAAGGCUGUGGAAAGAAUGAGUCCUUGCCCAGUUUAUCCCGGCUGUCCUCUCGGAGGCCUGGACAUGGACUGAUAUCACAUCCACCAUGUGCUCCUUUUUCAUGGGUGAACAAACAGAUGCCACGGGCAGACAGGAUGCCUCUGAGAAAGGCCAACUAGACAGAUUUCCUUCGGUUCUUACAAAGGACGAAAAGAACAAGUUGUCAGCUCUUGAGAAAGCAGACUUUACAGAGAUAAAUGAUAAAUGAGCAAUGACCUCAGAGGGGACACAAGCCAAGUCAGCUUGGCCACAGACGAGGGCACAGAACCAGGGGCUGGAAAAUUAGGUCUGCCUCAGCCUUCCUUUCCAGCUCAGGUAAACUGAGAUAAGGGAGACAGAGGACUGAUUGGCUGGCCAGAGGGUACCAGGAGGUAGAGCGCUGGUCUCCAAACAAAGGCUAACCUGUCUUUCUGCCUCCUAGAAUUCUAUGAUGAACUGUCCCCACUGCAUCAGCAUUAAGACUUAAUGAGCAACCCACUGUUGAGUAAGCAGAUCUUCAUAAAAUCUUAAGAGUUGGGGUCUUUGAAAAAGCAAAGGAAGAAGGGAGGAGGAAGAGGAGGAGGAGGAGGAGGAGGAGAAAAGCAAAGCCAUCUAACAACCCAUAAUAGACAACAAAGUAGGGAUUAGAUUCUGAUCUAGCAGGGGUCAGUGUGACUCAGUGUCUCAUCCUUCUUUCCUAGGCUCUUAAGCAGCUUCCCACGACACUGUAAAUAAGGGCAAACAUUACCUCAUCUCACUGGAGCUUUAGCUAAAGGAUAAGGCCACUGUUAGCUCAAGAUGUCACUGGGGUAACAGAACAUAAAAUGCUCACUUGUCUCCUGUGCAGUUAAAAACCUGGGCUCAUUUUUCUGAAAAUUGCACACUGUGGCUGUAUUUGAUGUCAACGUCGCAAUCUGUGUCUGGCAGACCUAGAUUUAGCCUUUCCCCCUCUGUUGUCCUAAUCUGUCCAAGUCCCUCUCCAGGGCCCCACCAUUUCCCUAUCUCCAGCCCCAAGCUGUACAGCGAUGCUUAUCUGCUCUUGUGUACUCACAGCCCCUUGGGAUCUAUCUACUUUUCAGAGACUCCAAAGCUGGUCUGGUCCUUCUAAGCUUGAUACUAUAACUCUUCAUCAACUCCCUGUGGCUUCUGACUUUUCCCAGGAUGGAAUCCACCCAUGUCUGUGGUUAAGAUCAUAUGUAAACUUAUUAAAUGACUAUUGCAAA